CAUUCAAAGGUCUGUGAUUGUAUGAACUUAGAAACUUGGUCUCGACAGGUACUCUCCAAAGAAGACCAGGAGCUGACUAGUUAAAAGGAUUCAGCAUGUGCGGAAGAGAGGAGCUGAUCUGCCAGUGCCCGUGCUAUCCUAGGCUGCUCCCGGAAGUACCACGUCACUUUCUCAAAUAAAACGAGCAGGUUGGACCCGAUGAUUCACGGCCUUUGUAACCGGCAUUCUGCUGCCACCCUAGCCUGAGGCUGAAGUUCUCAAGCUGGCCUGGGACUCAAGUUCUCAAGCUGAUCUGCGGCUGAAGUCAUCAAACUGGCCUGGGACUGAGGUUAUUAAGAUUCCUAGGAACCCUCUCGUCCAAAAGACCCUUCCCGGUAAUCAAGAUC